CUCUUCUGAGACUAUGGGAAAACCCUUGUCCCUUCUCCCCUGGUAAUUGUAUAGACACUUGCACACCAUGUCAUUUGCCAUGUUAUUUCACGGAGUCCAGGAGUAAGAAAAAACGAAGGUGUUUUGUGAGACCCAGGAGUCUAAUCACAUAGGAACAAUUCUGUCCGCUCCACUUCUGGGAUAGAGAUGCUGGCUUCAGUAUGAUAACUAUUCACCUUGACUUUUCUUUAAGAUCCCACCUCACCGUCAUCUGGGGAAGUCUGCAAAGCUCCUCUAGAAGGGUUCUCCACUUGUCCACUCACCUGACUCAUCUCCUCAAGUCCCUUCUAGUGCAAUCUGGAAGAUGCCAUAUUUCCAUUCAUGUUCUGGUCGGCACUGAUGAGAGAACAGGCGACAGCUCCAUUGGAGACCUGUCUGCUCUUUCCGUCUCUUUGCUAUGACUCAAGGGACUUCUGCUCCCAAGCUUGUCAUUCUUCAGAACCACAGCCCUGAGCCCAUCAGCUCAGAAACAGGGAGGGGCAGUAUCCAUGCAAAAUGAACCGCUGAUCUUUUAUUCAUCUGUCUGUGCACUCCGCCGGUAUUCAAGUCCCAGAUCCCAUGCUCAGUGGCAGGAUGUACUGGAGACAGAGGUCUCCAUUCCGACGGAGCUCAGAGUGUAAUUGGGAGAGGCAGAUUGUCAGGGACUAUGUCCUCAAAAGCAUUCCAAGUGUCACCAAGAGAAACAAGGAGAUGUAACAGGAAGGAUGUGAUACAGGGGCUACGACUUGGACAGGCUGGUCCAGGUUGAGGGAUCCAUAGAAAAUACAAACCAGGUCACGUUACUCCAUCACCCCAAACUCUUCAGCAACUGCCAGUGAAGCGGAAGAGAUGAAGAUUCCACAAUUGCAGCAAGGCCUGCAGGUUUGCCCUCUUGAACUUCAAUUUAUAUUUUUCAAGAGAAUCAUGCAUCUGAAGUAUCACUGGACCAAGGAGGACAAAAGAUACAUAGUGUAGAGCAAACAGGAUCCACAGGCCAAGUCCAGUCAUGCCCAGUGGAUAGCUUCCAUCAUGGGCACAGACUGUCAAGUCUUCAAAUAAAUGCCAACUUGAAUCAAGACAAAGAGUAACGCAGAGUCUAUCAAGAUGUGAGAAGCGACUGCCUCACAAGGCCACCACCAUGAAUGGAGCUGAAGCCAUGGAUGGGGAUGCUGCCACGAAUGUGGAUGUUGCCAUGGAUGGGAACACUGCCAUGAUGGAGAUACUGCCAUUAGUGGAAAAGAUACCAUGGGUGAAGGUGCCUUGACUGUCAUGCCUUUCUUGCUAAUAUGAACUUCAGCCCCUGAGACCAUAAUGAAAAAUAUGAACUCUUCCUUCCUCCCGUUGCUUCUGUUGGGUAUCUGAAUACAACAAUAAAAAAGCAGCUAAGGCCAGACCUGUAAAGCCUGCUCACCCCAUUUACAAACAUCGUUGCUUUCCAAUGCUUAGUAAAGGCUAUGCAAUGUGUCCCUGCAUGGGUGCACCA